rnacentral:rRNA from 1 species
AUUAGAUACCCUGGUAGUCCACGCAGUAAACGAUGAAUACUAAUUGUCCGGGCAGAGAGAUGCCUGGGUGAUACAGCGAAAGCGUUAAGUAUUCCACCUGGGGAGUACGCCGGCAACGGUGAAACUCAAAGGAAUUGACGGGGGCCCGCACAAGCGGAGGAACAUGUGGUUUAAUUCGAUGAUACGCGAGGAACCUUACCCGGGCUCAAACGACACAGGAAUACUUUUGAAAGGAGGUAGCCAGCAAUGGUCUGUGUCGAGGUGCUGCAUGGUUGUCGUCAGCUCGUGCCGUGAGGUGUCGGCUUAAGUGCCAUAACGAGCGCAACCCCUACCGCCAGUUGCCAGCAGGUAAAGCUGGGGACUCUGGCGGGACUGCCGGCGCAAGCUGCGAGGAAGGCGGGGAUGACGUCAAAUCAGCACGGCCCUUACGUCCGGGGCGACACACGUGUUACAAUGGCAGGUACAGCGGGAAGCCACCUGGCGACAGGGCGCGGAACCCGAAAACCUGUCUCAGUUCGGAUUGGAGUCUGCAACCCGACUCCAUGAAGCUGGAUUCGCUAGUAAUCGCGCAUCAGCCACGGCGCGGUGAAUACGUUCCCGGGCCUUGUACACACCGCCCGUCAAGCCAUGGAAGCCGGGAGUGCCUGAAGUGCGUGACCGCAAGGAGCGUCCUAAGGCAAUACCGGUGACUGGGGCUAAGUCGUAACAAGGUAUC